ACGGCCCCUGGUUGGGGCCCACACGAUGAUCGUAACAAAUGGUUAGAGACUUUAGGUGAUAUGGCUCAAAAUCGAUUGCAAUGGCUCAGGUGCAUC
rnacentral:precursor_RNA from 1 species